UUCUUCCUCUUAUUCUUCUAUUUUUUCUUCCUCUUAUCCUUCUAUUUUUUCAUUCUUUUUUUUUUCUUUUCUAUUUUUUUUCUUUUUCUGCCAACUUCUGAAAUAUUACAAACAUAAUUAUUCAACCCCACACAACUCCAAACAAGACUCUUUCAACCCUUUGAAUAGGGUGAUAACAUUGUUUACCAACUUCUGAAAUAUUACAAACAUAAUUAUUCAACCCCACACAACUCCAAACAAGACUCUUUCAACCCUUUGAAUAGGGUGAUAACAUUGUUUUUCACUUC
rnacentral:lncRNA from 1 species